rnacentral:lncRNA from 1 species
UUCUAUCCUUCUUAAAAGAAAUAUUCUAUCUAUUGCAGUGAAAGACAUGCCACAGAAAUGCAUUGCCUACCAUAUGUAGCCUAAUUGAACAUUGAUUCAUAUAUGAAUCAGUAGAAUGGAACUAUGGAGACAACUGUAGCACCAGUCUCGUUCUUGCUCUCGUCAAGCUGGUUAGUUAUGUAUUGGCCUUCGACGUUUCGACCGUGUAUAAUCGGUGUCCCACCACCAUGGCAGCUUCCCCUUCC